GAUUAUGGGAUUGUUUGAAACGCUCAUUCCUCUUACCCACUAAGGUGUUUCUUCUUAGGGUGAACUCACGGCAUCUCGUUCAGCCUAAAGGCAAUGGGAAGGGACUAGGGAGCCUGUACAAGGACAUAGAGUCAUGUGGAGAGUACAGAGAUAUCCAAGUGAUGUGGGAUAUGAUCCAUUCCUGUCCUCCUCGCUGUCCAUGAGUAGCAGCUUCAGAUGAGGCACCAUUCUGUUCUCUGCAACAAUGUUCAUGUUCAUGAAAACACAGAAUGUUCAUAUAUAUAAUAAUAAUACGAGAAGGGAUGAGUUUUGGGAUGUGGAAGUUUUUCAAUCAAGUCUGGUUCUUGUUUGGGGUUUCCUAUCAGUUGAAGAUGAAGAUGAGAAGUGGUGUGGGAUUUAGUCUGUUUCUUGUUGAUUUCAUUUGCAGAUAUUACAGUGGACAAGAAUGUAAUGCCAAAAGCUUAAUUUAGGGAGGGAGCUAUUAGCUAUUCAACUUAUUAUUAUAUCAUGCAUCAAAGUUUAAUGAUUGAUAUAUGAUUGCAUGCAUCUAUUGUAACUUCACUAUUUUGAUUAUUAAAAGGUUAUAAGUUCAUAUCU